UCAUGGGACCUUCCAGACUUUUGAGAACUACAUUUUCCUCGAACCACCUAGAAUGUUGUUAGCCAUUUCCUCAAGGGUAUAUAAGGGGCAGGACAUCACCAGUCAGUCAGUGAGAUAUAAGAACGAACUGAAGGGCCACUUCUUCUCUGAGUAAUCCCCACUCCAAUCCUACAUCUCCUGAGAAUUCCUACUAUGAAGGUGAAUCAUGCUGGAAGGAACAGACUUGGAACUGCUGCUGAUUCCCCCUAUAAACACUUAAAAGAAAUCCCCACUGAAUAUACUAGCAACUAGUGGCAAUCCUCAAGAGGAGGACUGAGGAGGAGGACUCAUGUGAAAUGUGACUGACACACUGCUCUUCCAAAUGGAACAUCCAUUCUGAUCUGGACUUGGUAUGGACAAAAUAAUACUUUGCAAAUGUAUGAUCUGAGCACCAAGUAGCAGCCAGCAGAUCUCAGUGAACAAAUGCUGCAGAAGCUGCCACUUUCGCCCAAAUCCCAAUAGUAGAAGAGGUUUGAGUCAAAGGUACAGUUACUUCAUCAAGAUCAUAUCCUGUCUUGAUCCAUUCAGAUCGCAUCUGGACUAAAACUGAUUGGCCCUUACCUCUUCCACCAAAAGCCCCAAACCAUUUUGAGGCCUUUUUAAAAGGCUUUGUCCUAUUGAGGAAUUAACAGAGAGCCCUUUUAAUAUGCAAGGUGUACAGAUUAAGGUGGAUUGCAAAAUCAGGAGGCUUAGAAAAUACUGGUCAAAAAGGUCUGAUUUAAAUGAAAAUCCAUGGCCUCUAUAGUCAAGAUUCUGGGAUGAGAUCUUAAGAGUACUUCAUCCUUGUGAAAAUGUGUAUAAGGAGGAUCUGCAACAAAGCCCACAGUUCUGAAAUGCUCCUCAGAGAUGCUCUAGUCACAAGGGAAAAAAACCUUCAAUGACAGAAGUAGAAGUCAAGAACAUCAAGAGGAGCCUCCAUGAACCUUGUAAGAACCAAGCUUUCAAUCCCUUGGAUCACCGGGUUUUAGCUUUGAAUAUACAUUCAAACCCUUAAUAUACUGUUUGUAUGACAAAAGACCAAACUGCUUUGUUUUGCCCAUGUACAUGCAAAGUAUCAUCUGGUUGGAUCCCAGGGUGAUCCUAAAUCGGUGAAAGACAAAGAAAAUUCUAAAAUGGCUGUAAAAGGACAAGAGACUGGAGUCAUCUCGAAGUUCUCCAGACCAAAUCUUUUAACCAUUUCCAUUUACAGACAUGUGACUAUCUGGUGGAAUAUUUUUGUGAUUCCACAAGCACAGCAGCAACUUUCACUGAGAAAUAGAAGUAUUCCCUUUUUAAUAAGCUAUCAACCAAGCGAUCAGAUAAAGAGAUUUCUAGUCUGGGUGAAGCAUCUGACCUUUCUGCUGGGGCAAGAGAUCUGGGCACAGGCAAAGACAAAGGAUUCAUCAUCAUGCAAGAACAAGGGGACACCCAAUGGAAUUAAAAGGCAUCCAUUUUAAAUGAUAAAAGGAAAUACUUUUAUUAUCUAAUGAUAAUUAAGCUUGGGAACUUACUGUCACAAGAUGUUACUGAGGUAUAGAUUUUAGUAGGGUUUUAAAAAAGAUUAGGCAUUUCUAUAAAUAUUAAGGAUAUCCAAGUUACAUUAGAUAGGAUAAAAGCAAUCAGAAGGCAUAUGAAGACUCAUGCUUCAAGUACUAACUGUCUGAAAUUAGGAAGAAAUCCGCAUAAGCAUGUUAUUGCAUAAUUUUCUAUUAUGAGGUUCUAUGUCAUCCUCUGAAGCAUCUAGGAUUGAUCACUAUCAAAGAGAAGAUACUGAACUAGGUGGCCUAUUGAUCUGAUCCAACAUCACAAUUCCUAUUUUCCUAUGCCACUGAAUUCAACACAAGGCACUUCAGUAGAUUUUUUUGCUAGCAAGAUGGCCACUACUAAUAAUACAACUCAAAAUUGCAUUUUAUAAAUAAAUGAAAAGAUAUUUCCAAGUUAAUUUCAAAGUUGAUUUGUGAUAUUCCUUAUCUUUUUUGAACUUUCAAACUACUGCACUAAAAACUGCUAAAGAUUUGGGUGACGUUCACUCAGGGGUGAAAGUAAGCCAGUAUGGACCGGUACAGCAUACCAGUAAAAAGUGGCUGCCAGUACUGUCCCGUACUCAGCUGAUGGCAGCGCUUUAACAUCGUUGCCCCCUUUGCCCCCUGGGCCGCUGACCGGAAGGGCAGGGGGGAGGGGACAAAAGGAGCAGCUGUCCCGGGGCCGCGAUUUAACAGGGCCUGGGGCUCCAACCACUGCUGCCUCUACCACAGCAGCGGCCAGAGUCCCGGGCCCUUUAAAUCACCGCUGGAGCCCCGGGUGGCGCGAGCCAGGCAGUGUGGAUGGGCUGGCUGGGGGAUGCUGAUCCUCAGCCCUGCCCCUUCUGCCUGAGGCCCCGCCCUUUCCGGGGACGGAGCUGGCCCCCAUACCAGUAAGUGCUUAAUGUUACUUUCACCCCUGCAUCCACUGGUUCUUCUCCCUAACUGGGUGUAUCAAAAUAGCAUCCAAUCAGCAGAGGGAGCACACAUAAUAGGAACAAACCAUUGCUAAGUGUGAGAUGCAGUGAAGUGGUGAAGAGAAAACAAAAAGAUCUGUCUAGGAGCAGCUGAUUCACCACAGCCAGAUAGAAUUUAAAAUCUGACACUAGAGAAGAGAAAUAAAAUCCACAAAAAUAAACUAAGUACUUGGCUGACAGAGAGCCAGGGGUGGAGUAGGGUAGAGUUGCCCAAAGAGGGGAAGUUAAAAGUUAAGGGUCAAACCCAGCCAACAAUAAGAUGUCCUCAGGGCGUGUCUACAACUCAGAAAGCUAUGGAAAGGUAAAUCCCAAUCUCUCCAACUCAGCUUGGGAUAGCCAAGGAGCUGCUCAAGAAGGAGAGCUCAUGUGUAUCUGUGUCACACACUGAGGUGUAGGCAGUGUGACCUAGUGGUCAGAGCAGGAGUCUGACCUAGUGGUCAGAGCAGAAUCACAGUCAUGGUCAGGAGACAAACCAAUGGUUGGAGUCAGGAGCUGGAACAGAACCAAAGAGCAAAGCUGGAGUUGCAAUUAAGAGACGAGCUGAGCUCAUUUGGUUGCUAGGCGAAUAAGCCUGGAGGCAGCUGAGUUCCUGAUAAUACCCCCUCCCCAAGGGCUCCUCCUAGGGACCCUUGGUCCUGGCUUGUGAGAAUAUCUUUGGUGACAUUCCCAUAGGAGAUAGGAGCGUAAACAUUUUCUUCUGGUGCCCAGGACCUCUCUUCUCACCUGUACCCCUUCCAGUGUGUCAGAUGCUGGAGCUUCCCCCAGAGCCUUUUGAGUUGAGGACCUGAUGGACUUUUAUUCCUCCUGUCCAUGGACAAUUAAAGAGGGUGGAGAAGUGUUUACCCAGUCAGGGAAGGGGUUGUUGAUGAACUGUUUAAGGAGAGAAACAUAGAAGUCAGGGUGAAUCUUGAGGGAUUCUGGCAGUUGAAACUUUAAGGUCACUGAGUUUAUUUGUUCAAUAUUCUGAAAAGGACUCAGGUACUAGUGGACAAGCAUGGCCAAAAGAUGGCCCAUUCUCAGGUUUUGAGUCAAGAGUCUAUCCCCUACUCCAAGGUUAGGGAUGGCUUGUCACCUUCAGUCGGCUUAUAUGUUUCUUUAGUGGCAAGUAAGUGCUCCUUGAGUCCCUGGUGUGUUUGCUGGAGGUAGUCGACUAAGUCUGUAGCCACUGGAACAGUGGAGCCUUUGGGCAGAUCUGGAUGGAAUUGGGGAUGAAAACCAAAAUUUGUGAAGAAUGGGGUCUGUUGAGUUGAAGCAUGUGUUGAGUAGUUGUAUGUGAACUCAGCGAAACAGAGCAAUGGAAGCCAAUCAUCAUAUGGGAAUCCAGGAAACAGCAGAGGUACUGCUCCAGGAUCUGAAUUACUUUCAGUUUGGCCAAUUGCCUGCGGAUGGUAGGCUAUCGAGGUGAGGGGCUUGGUGCCAAGAAAGGCAGAGAAAUUCCUGCCAGAACCAAGAAAUGAACUGAGGGUAUCGAACCAAAAUGAUGCAUGGUAGCAGAAGAUAUGUUCAAGGAAGGCUUGCACAGUUCCAUGGGCAGACGGAACACUGUGGCAGGGAAUAAAAUGGGCCAUCUUGGCUAGGAGGUCAGGAUAACUGAGUGUCCUUGGGAGCAUGGUUACUCAACAGUAAAGUCCAUUGAGAGGAUGGAGAAAGGACAUGGAGGUGUGUGAGGGUGCUGAAGGAGGCUCACAGGCUUGGCUCGCAGUUUUUUCAUAUGGGCACAGAGGUCACAAGACCUAAUAUAGAUUUAAAUACUAGUUUGUAGGGUUUGCCACCAGAAGUACAUAUUGAUCAGGUUCCAGAUUGCAAACUGGCUGGGCAAAUCAUGGCAUAACCAUAGCACCUGAAGCCAGGAGCUGCCCUUGGGAAUGUAGAGACAAUCCCUGUGAAAAAGGAGGCCUUGUUGUAGAUGAAAACUUGAAUCCAAGGAAGCACUGCUGGUUCUUAGGAUUUGGUAGAUUGGGGCUUCAAAUAGGUCACAGCCUCAUUCCAGUGGGUGUCUGUGGCCAGCCAUUAAAAUUCUGCUGAAUAUUUGGCAUUGGACCUGGCAACCUGCCAGAUGGCAUAGAGACUAGCAUCUGCGGUACAUUCUUGAUUAGGGUUGUUGAAGAUGCCCACCACUGUCUGUACAAAGCUCUUGAAGUGUUCAAGGAGAGAACUGGACCCUUCCAGGAUCAGGAACGCCCACUUCAGGGCUUCUCUGGUGAAAAUGCUAAAUAUUAAUCCCACUUGGGACUGAUCUGUGGGAUAUGACUGUGGCACUGACACAAACUGGAAACAACACUGGUUAAGGAACCCAUAAAACUUGGCAUAAUCCACAUUGAACUUAUAGAGUAGGGGCAACUUGGGCUCCGGGACAAUGGAUAAGAGAGCUGGGGGGACAAAAGAGAGUGCCUGGAUUUGUAUUGGACUUGGAGAACCAUAGUGAGGCAACAUUAGCCUGCAGUUUCGCAGGACCUCAACAACAUCUGAGAAGGUGGGUUGAGCUCCUGCUCUGACCAUUCUGGAGGGGAGUCUGGCCUAGUGCUCAAAGCAGAAUCAGAGGGCAGAACCAGAGUCGUGGUCAUGAGACAAGCCAAUGGUCAGAGCCAGGAAUCAGGAGCCAGAACAGAACCAAAGGGCAGAGCUGAAGUCCUGGUCAGGAGACAAGCCAGUGGUCAGAGCCAGGAGUCAGAAAUCAGUUCAGAGGUAGGCAAGGACUAGGUCUGGAACAGAGCAGGCAAGGGUUGGAGUAAGGGCCGGGCAGGAAACAGGUAUGGCAGAUCUGCGGCUGCAGAAUGCAUUGAGCAGCCACUGUGCUGCUAUUGCUACAACACUUAAAUGGUGAUCUGUUGGCUCUUCUGACCAAUCAGAGAGCACAGUCACUUAGUGAGGGUUUAUUGGGCACAGACGAGCUCAUUUGUUUGCUAGGUGGCCAAGCCCAAAGGCAGCUGAGUUCCUGACAAAUUGAGCUCUCUGUCUCCAACAUGACACUCACCCUGUGCUGGACUGUUCCCCCAUUGACACUAUCGAAUUUGUGAGUUCCGACUGUCCUAGACCUCAAUUUGUUCAACUUGCAUUUCUCCGUGGUGGGGUAGGAAAAACAGGAGAAAGACCUGAUCACCAUCAGAUGGCAGCAGGCCCAGCCCUAGGUGUUUUGGUUUACUAGAAUGGAAAACUUUUUUAGUGCCCUCAAAACCUUAUUUGGUACUCCCAGAAGUUGGCUGCCCUGAUCACCUGCGCCCAAGGCUGGCCCUGGAUGGCAGGGAGGAGUACGGCAGGAAAUAAACUAUUUCCCAGUGACUCUGCUGCUGGCAGUGCGGAGAGGAAUACUCACACACUUCUGAGAGGAAGAGCUCGCCUCAUAAUUUCAAGCUUUUAUGGGAAAGGUGAUCACAGUCUUAAGAACUGGACGCCAGCUUCUGGGCUGACAACUCAAUUUCUGAGCCACUAGCAAGGGAAGAGGUGCUUUGGGCUGUGGCCCAUUUUGAAUUUCUUUCUAUCUAACAUUGGAAAAGCUGCCCCAUAUAUUAGUGCAUGAGGAGGGAUGACAUUAUUCUUGUGACCCUUAUGGCCAUUGGGAUGGGUAGCAUGGCAUCUGAUUGCUCUCCUGGUAGGGAGUUAUGAUGUGUGACCAUAGCUAAAUAAAUUUGCAUUCCUCAGUCAUGACCAAAGGAUAAUGAGGAAAGUGCCAUCUCAGGAGUGCAAGUAGCCUCUGCAGGUGCUGGAUAUCUGCAGCUCCCUUGGCUUCUCAGUCCACUAGCUGAAGAGGAAAAUUUUUGCUGGCUAUGUCACCAUAUUUUGCCAAAGACAGAAUUUUGAUUCUACAUUUUGAUGGUGCAAGCAACCCAGGGAAUUUUAUGAUGAACAAAUACUACCUUUGUAAAUGUUAGCUGUGGUCAUUGUUGACAUCACAAGUGGCCUUGCUCUUAUGGUUACAACAAUGUCAUUAGAACUCCUUGAAGUACAUAUAAGCUGUGUCAAUUAUCUGGGUAGCCUCCUCUAUAUAAAACACAAAUACUUUUCCAAGUAUAGAUCUAUAAAUAUGUAUAAUUGAUUUUAUCAUGUGUCAUGCACAUAAACUAUAUGAAUAAAGCCACAUGACUCUGUAAAGCUAACUUUUACUGAAAAUUUAACAAAGCAAGUUAUUUUUAGUACAUGCAGAUCAUAAGUGGACAUUUUACAGAAAAAGUUAGUUGUACUUUCUGGUAGUAAUUACCUCCCACAAAUAUGACUCACUUCUGCAGUUUAAAUGCAAUGGUUUGGUAUCCCAAAAUCAACAGUUUUAUAAAUAAAUCUCUGAAUCACAGACUGAAUGCCUGAAGUGUUUAAAUAUUUCUUACUGGUCUGGGAAGAGUUUUCUGUUUAGGCUUUUACUUCAUAACAAAUUCCCAGGGAACAGUACUGAUACUUAAAAUAGGUAAACAUAGAUAAAAUAGGUAGGCUGCAGUGAGAUUUAUAUAAGGAUCAUGUAACUAAGUUUUCUGACUCUUUUAUCGUUCUGUUAACAUCAGCCAGGACUUCAAAGUUGGAUGUGAAUAGGACCUAAGAUGGAAUUAAUUUUCCUGUUUCACUGCAUCCAUUUUGUAAAAAUUAUAUUUGAAUCUGAGACUUUUUUUUGAGGUAUGGCAGAACAAAUGGAGUUGUGUGGGACCAUUCAGGAAUCUCAUGGGGAGGCAGGCAGAUCACUUCAGUAAAUAAAUGCUGACUGUAUCAGUUAAGAAUGUUAACGAAAGAACAGGCCUCUCCAGAAGAAGCCAACUGACUAUACUUUUAAAAUGCUAAAGAAAAAAAAGUCCUCCUUUGGACUUCAAAUAACUGAAUUCUAACUAUCUAACAUAAAAAUGACAAUACUAUCUUUUUUAUAUAAGAUAUCAAUAGAGUCUGACACCAUCCACAGAUCUAAGGUUGAUAGUUUU